UGCCGCCAGCAGGGGUCGAACCUGCGACCUUGGGCUUAUUAGACCCACGCUCUAACCGACUGAGCUAUGGCGGC
rnacentral:tRNA from 6 species